AUUGAACGCUAGCGGGAUGCCUUACACAUGCAAGUCGAACGGCAGCACGGACUUCGGUCUGGUGGCGAGUGGCGAACGGGUGAGUAAUGUAUCGGAACGUGCCCAGUAGCGGGGGAUAACUACUCGAAAGAGUAGCUAAUACCGCAUACGCCCUACGGGGGAAAGGGGGGGAUCGCAAGACCUCUCACUAUUGGAGCGGCCGAUAUCGGAUUAGCUAGUUGGUGGGGUAAAGGCCCACCAAGGCGACGAUCCGUAGCUGGUUUGAGAGGACGACCAGCCACACUGGGACUGAGACACGGCCCAGACUCCUACGGGAGGCAGCAGUGGGGAAUUUUGGACAAUGGGGGCAACCCUGAUCCAGCCAUCCCGCGUGUGCGAUGAAGGCCUUCGGGUUGUAAAGCACUUUUGGCAGGAAAGAAAUCGCACGGGCUAAUACCUCGUGUGGAUGACGGUACCUGCAGAAUAAGCACCGGCUAACUACGUGCCAGCCGCCGCCGUAA
rnacentral:rRNA from 1 species